rnacentral:rRNA from 1 species
CCUACGGGAGGCAGCAGUGAGGAAUAUUGGUCAAUGGGCGAGAGCCUGAACCAGCCAAGUCGCGUGAGGGAGUACUGCCCUAUGGGUUGUAAACCUCUUUUGUAGGGGAGCAAAAGCCGGACGUGUCCGGCUGUGAGAGUACCCGAAGAAAAAGCAUCGGCUAACCCCGUGCCAGCAGCCGCGGUAAUACGGAGGAUGCGAGCGUUAUCCGGAUUUAUUGGGUUAAAAGGGUGCGCAGGGGGAUUUUUAAGUCAGCGGUAAAAUCGUGGGGCUCAACCCCAUCCAGCCGUUGAAACUGGGGAUCUAGAGUGUGCGAGAGGUAUGCGGAAUGCGUGGUGUAGCGGUGAAAUGCAUAGAUAUCACGCAGAACCCCGAUUGCGAAGGCAGCAUACCGGUGCACAACUGACGCUCAGGCACGAAAGCGUGGGUAUCGAACAGGAUUAGAUACCCGGGUAGUC